rnacentral:lncRNA from 1 species
AAUUAACAAGGAGGGGCCUGUAACUCUAAGAUGGUUUCUUCAGUAAUGACUAUUUUCUUUUACAAGACGUGAGUAUUCUCUACCUUCUAAGAGACCAGCAUUGCUCAUCAAUGCUGAGCAAUGGAAAGUGAAGGUGUUCAGUUUUGAAGAUCAAACUGACUUAUUGAGCCAUCUGAUUGAUGUUAAG